GUAAAGUUUUGUUUAAACCGAAAAAAUAUUGACUGACUUUAGAUUUUUCUUUGGAAUAUGUGAUUUUGUUGGAGAGCCCUCUUUUUUGGUAAAUUUUGUUGGCACAUGUAUGAUUGUUUAGUUUUUAUUUUAUUUUGUAAUGCUUUUUUUGUUUUGGCAUUUAAAACAGAUAUAUAUUUGGUUUAUAAAUUUAUUUUUCAUGUGUUACUAUUAUAAAUUUUUUUUGGAUUAAUUUUUUAUUUUUUUUUGAAAUUGGAAAAGAAAGUAA
rnacentral:rRNA from 1 species